UCCAUCUCUGCAUCCCUGCACCCCUCCAUCCUCCAUCCCUGUACCCUUACAUUCUCCAUCCCUGCAUUCCUCCAUCGCAGCAUCCCUGCAUGCCUCCGUUCUCUGCAUCCCUCCACCCCAGUAUCCCUGCACCUCUUCAUCCCUCCAUUCCUGCAUCCCUCUAUUUUUCCAUCCCUCCAUUCCUGUAUCCCUGUGCCCUCCAUCCUCCAUCCCAGCAUCCCUCCAUCCCUGCUCCCCACUCUCACUUCCCUUCCCUUCACAGACAGGCUUUUCCUGCCAUCCUCAGACCCCACCCAGGGUUACCUGAUGCCUUUCCAGCUGCACACGGGGACUGACUCACCUCUCUCUUUCUCAGUCCCAAAGUCCCGAAAGAGAGCAUCUGAUGUGGUCAGCUUGUGACAAGGCGUCCACCUUCUGUCCAUGACAUGGAGGCCAGGGGAAGGUCUCACUGCCCAGCACCCCACCCUGUGCUCCCAGGCCUUUUGAAUGUUCCUCCUGCUCAGCCCAGUGACUGCGGGCUGUGGCUCCUCCUCCAGCCUCCCCUCGAGAAGGAGAUCCGGUUGGCAGCUAAACCGCGCUGGGAACAGGGGCCUGAGUCCUGGACUAGGGCUCUUUCCCCGGGGCUGCUGCAGAUGGGGAGGAGCCUACACCCGCCUCCCGAGUGCUAAUCAGACCUGACAGGCUGGAGAAUGGCCAGUCAGCCUGAGGCCACCGCGGGACACCACCUAGGCCCAGCUUCUCCCCCCACCAGAGGGCGCCAGAGCCCGCCAAGCCUCGUAGGAGAUGGCAACAGGGCCUGCUGCUGCCACCUAGCGGCCAAUUCCGGGAAUGAAUCUCGGCACGCUCAUUACCCAGCGACUCUGCCCAUCUUGACCCUUUAUGUGAAGCAGAACAGCCGCUUCCGCAGUGAGCUGUCAGAAGGCGUCGUGCCUGUCUUGCUAGUGGGGAAACUGAGGCUCAGAGAGGCAGAAGACUUGCCCAAGAUCACACCACCGGGACCCAGGAUUCAAGCGCAGGCCUGCCCAGGCUCUCUGUGGCCUCCUGGCUGCGAGGAGGCAGCCAGGGACCAGGUGCCACCCUUCUGAGACACCUGAGAUCCCAGGCCCGAGAGGAUGAAGGCGGGAUUACCUGGAGCGUGUCUGAAUGCUGGAGGAAGAAGGGCAGCUGGGAGAUGAAGCUGUCAGGAUGGGCCGCAUCCCAUUUCCUGCCUCGUUUCAGUUCAACUUUCCAACAGACCUCCCUGGCUCGUCUUGCUCUUCUCUAAUGGACAAACAAACAGGCUCAGAGAGGUGGUGUGACUUGCCCAAGGUCACUCAGCUUGGAUGCUAUGGAAC
rnacentral:lncRNA from 1 species